AUCGAGAAAUCCGUUACAAUACAAUUUACUACUUAAGAAGAAUAAAAAAAGUGUAAUUUCACUAAAAAGAGGGAUAAAGGGACACUUAUUCCAGUGUGAGAGCGCUUCAAAAUUAGCGUCUUUUAUAACAUUUUGCAUUGUAGCCAGAUCAGUCAAAAUAAAAAUUGUUGGACAUUUAAACUAAAACACCCAACAUUUAUUAAGAUUAAAAUUAUUAUAUAUAUAUCCGAUUAACACAUGGAGGAACUAUUCAAAUCCUUUUUUGUGAUUUUGUGAUAUUUUAAAACAACUGGUUUUUGAACUUUCGAUAGUUGAGAGAGUUGAGCAUCCCUUCAUCUCUGCUAAAAAUUUGGCUUUUAGAGAGAAAAACGCGACACAAAACCGAUCAGUAAGAAAAUUUGCAGCAUUGCGGAAAAAUUGCAUUCCUAGAAUA